CGGACGAAACAGGGGUGUCCCGCCGAUACGGCGUGCGACUGAGAAAAUACCCUGGGGCUGCGUGCGGCCCCGCUACCCGAUCCAGGUCAUGCUGGCGUGGGGAGUUUCCACAGCGACGGU
rnacentral:ncRNA from 1 species